AAUGAAAAUGGACUGGAAUGAGAAUGAGGAAUAAAAAUGAGAUUUUAAUAUUUACUUGACAAAAAUAAAUGGGAAUGGAAAUGUGCUGGAAUGCCAUUGAUAUGUUUACUUGGCAAAAUAAAUGGGAAUGAAGAAUGAGAAUGAGAAUCAAUUUACCAAAAUUAGGGGUGGGCAAAAUACCCGACUCGACCCGACUCAAUCCGAAAAAAGUCGGGUUCAGAUCAGAUCAGGUUAUGUAUAAAACCCGAUCGGAUCCAUUUGUGUCAACCCGAUUGGAUCAUGAUCGGAUCGGAUGAAACCCGAUCCGAUCCGAAAAUCCGAUCGGGUUGACACAAAAUUAAAAAUAAAAAUAAAACAAAAUUAAAAAACCAAAACUGACAAACUUCACUCACCCACACAAUCACACCCCAUCAAAUCCUAAACACUCACCCGCACAAUCACACACCACACACACGAUCCACACACAAUCACACAC
rnacentral:lncRNA from 1 species